AACCUUAUGGACCUGCGGGCGUAUACCUGCGGAAGGAUCAUUACAACGAAAAAACGGCCCCGAAAGGGGACGUUAUUUCACACCAUUGUGUACCAAACUUUUGUUGCCUCGGUGGGCUGGGCUGCUUGCCUACCCGGCCAGCCCCCCCUCACAGGGAGCGGCCCACCGCAGGACCUUUCAAAACCAGUCUGUUGAUGAACGUCUGAUUUUUACUUUUAAAAAGAAAUACAACUUUUAACA
rnacentral:misc_RNA from 1 species